GGGGGGGGUCAUUAGUUGUUAAUUGCUUGAUUACCUAUUUGUUUCGUGGGUUGUAGACUUACGUAUCUUUUCUCUUCUCUACUAGUAUUAUAAGUAUUUUUCUUUGUGACAUGUCCCGUCAUGGGUGGUGGGACUCACUCACUUAUAUAUUUAAUCUUUGAUUACACUAAUGUAUAUCAUGUUUUGUCUUGCAAAUACUAUGACCAAUAAAUACAUUUUGUCGCUAUAUGUAAUCUCUCAAAAUUGUUUCAUUUCAACUACGAUCUUCAUAUUUUCUAAAUAUUAAAAAUUAAAGAAUAAUUCAUCGGUUUAAAUAAUAUAUUACUAU
rnacentral:lncRNA from 1 species